rnacentral:rRNA from 1 species
AGCAGCCGCGGUAAUUCCAGCUCCAAUAGCGUAUAUUAAAGUUGUUGCAGUUAAAAAGCUCGUAGUUGAAUUUCGGGGUCAGUAGGUCGGUCGUGCCAACGGUAUGAACUGGUUUCACUGAUUCCUCCCUCUUGUAGAACCGUGAUGCCAUUAAUUUGGUGUUGCGGGAAAACAGGACUGUUACUUUGAAAAAUUAGAGUGUUUAAAGCAAGCUAACGCUUGAAUACAUUAGCAUGGAAUAAUGAAAUAGGACGUCGAUCUUAUUUUGUUGGUUUCUAGGGUUGACGUAAUGAUUAAUAGGGAUAGUUGGGGGCAUUAGUAUUCAAUUGUCAGAGGUGAAAUUCUUGGAUUUAUUGAAGGCUAACUACUGCGAAAGCAUUUGCCAAGGAUGUUUUCAUUAAUCAAGAACGAAAGUUAGGGGAUCGAAGACGAUCAGAUACCGUCGUAGUCUUAACCAUAAACUAUGCCGACUAGGGAUCGGAUGAUUG